rnacentral:rRNA from 1 species
GCCUCCACCCGGUGGAGGCGCGGCGCACAGCUCAGCCAUACAAGGCUAACCUACCCUUGGGACGGGGACAACCCCGGGAAACUGGGGCUAAUCCCCGAUAGGUGAGGACUCCUGGAAUGGGUCCUCGCCGAAAGGGCGUCUAGACCAUGCUUCUAGGCGCUGCCCAAGGAUGGGGCCGCGGCCGAUCAGGUAGUUGGUGAGGUAACGGCUCACCAAGCCUAAGACCGGUACGGGCCGUGAGAGCGGGAGCCCGGAGAUGGACACUGAGACAAGGGUCCAGGCCCUACGGGGCGCAGCAGUCGCGAAACCUCCGCAAUACGCGAAAGCGUGACGGGGCCACCCCGAGUGCCGUCCGCUGAGGACGGCUUUUCCCCAGUGUAGACAGCUGGGGGAAUAAGGGGAGGGCAAGUCGGGUGUCAGCCGCCGCGGUAAUACCCGCUCCCCGAGUGGUGGGGACGCUUAUUGGGCCUAAAGCAUCCGUAGCCGGCUGGAUAAGUCCCCUGUUAAAUCCAGCGAUUCAAUCGCUGGACUGCGGGGGAUACUGUCCAGCUAGGGGGCGGGAGAGGCCGGCGGUAUUCCCGGGGUAGGGGUGAAAUCUUAUAAUCCCGGGAGGACCACCAGUGGCGAAGGCUGCCGGCUGGAACGCGCCCGACGGUGAGGGAUGAAAGCUGGGGGAGCGAACCGGAUUAGAUACCCGGGUAGUCCCAGCUGUAAACGAUGCGGGCUAAGUGUUGGCACG